rnacentral:rRNA from 1 species
GACGAACGCUGGCGGCGUGCUUAACACAUGCAAGUCGAACGGAAAGGCCCUGCUUUUGUGGGGUGCUCGAGUGGCGAACGGGUGAGUAACACGUGAGUAACCUGCCCUUGACUUUGGGAUAACUUCAGGAAACUGGGGCUAAUACCGGAUAGGAGCUCCUGCUGCAUGGUGGGGGUUGGAAAGUUUCGGCGGUUGGGGAUGGACUCGCGGCUUAUCAGCUUGUUGGUGGGGUAGUGGCUUACCAAGGCUUUGACGGGUAGCCGGCCUGGGAGGGUGACCGGCCACAUUGGGACUGAGGUACGGCCCAGACUCCUACGGGAGGCAGCAGUGGGGAAUAUUGCACAGUGGGCGGGAGCCUGAUGCAGCAACGCCGCGUGCGGGAUGACGGCCUUCGGGUUGUAAACCGCUUUCGCCUGUGACGAAGCGUGAGUGACGGUAAUGGGUAAAGAAGCACCGGCUAACUACGUG